GCUUUAAUGACUUUUUUGAAAGUGGCGCACACAUUUGCACAUGUACUGGCAUUGAUCUGAUAAAUUCAAUUGAAAUUGCCUCAUUGAUGUUAAAUUGAAAUAGCUUUUAAUACCGUCUAAUAAAUAAAUCACCAGAUGAAAGAUAAGUAUCAAUGACUAUGAAAAUGGAAGCGACAGAGCGUUACUUAAGACGGAAGCCGACAGCAGGCACACAUUUGAGUAACAAGUACGAGCCUCGAGUCUAUGCGUGUACAAACGUGAAAGAAGGGGAAUUCAGCUUAGCGACAGUCAUGGGAAUUUCAAGCACAUUUCGCUAAUUCUCAGCCCCCUGAUACACUCAUGCAGAUGAAGAUGCUGCGCAUAUUGCGAGUAGGAAAUGGGUAUGCGGGUAACAGGAAGCUGCCACUGGCCCCGGCGAUCAGUUGUCACAGAUAUUCAUUGUAGCAGCCGGGACCAUUCCCAGCGCAUAUAAAUAUUCGCACUUGGUGACAUUUGGCUGAUAAAUCUCUGCCGGAUUUAGCGGAAACAAUGGCAGUGUGUGCUGCUGAAUCUGGACUUACCUUACUUAGUCUUUGUUCACCUGUUUGGAUGAGCAUUCGCAUGUGAAUCGUAAGCAGCUGCCGCUAAAUGUCCUUGAUCAUUUAGCCGUGUACCUUGAGAAGAGAAAUGGAAUUAAAUAACUUAAAUUCGAACCAAAACGAGGGUCUAGAGAAGGCCCGAGCAAGAGAAAACUCGGUAAAUUACUUAAAAGGGUUUGAAUCUAAGGGUUUUGUGUAUCCACAGGUCAACUUGCCAACUACUGAAAUUAAUAAUAAAUAAAGGUAUACAAAAGGGUCUACAUCAGCUGCCGUGUUUCUAACAAUAUUUCUAUGAGCUGCCAUUUUUUAAAUCAAAUAAACUUUUCAAAGGUAA